GGUUUUGUAGUUUAAGGAAAACAUUAGGCUGCAAUCCUAAAAAUGUAUUAUACUAAGACUU
rnacentral:tRNA from 1 species